AAGAUACUGGUGUAAAGAAAACACACUGCCUUGUCAAGGCAGAACUGCGGGUUAAAUCCCCACGCAUCUUA
rnacentral:tRNA from 1 species